rnacentral:rRNA from 1 species
AUUGAACGCUGGCGGCAUGCUUUACACAUGCAAGUCGAACGGUAACAGGCCUUCGGGUGCUGACGAGUGGCGGACGGGUGAGUAAUGCAUCGGAACGUGCCCAGAGGUGGGGGAUAACGCAGCGAAAGCUGUGCUAAUACCGCAUGUGAUCUGAGGAUGAAAGCGGGGGACCAAGCAGCAAUGUUUGGCCUCGCGCCUCUGGAGCGGCCGAUGUCAGAUUAGGUAGUUGGUGGGGUAAAGGCCUACCAAGCCGACGAUCUGUAGCUGGUCUGAGAGGACGACCAGCCACACUGGGACUGAGACACGGCCCAGACUCCUACGGGAGGCAGCAGUGGGGAAUUUUGGACAAUGGGCGCAAGCCUGAUCCAGCAAUGCCGCGUGCGGGAAGAAGGCCUUCGGGUUGUAAACCGCUUUUGUACGGAACGAAAAGGCUCUGGCUAAUACCUGGGGCUGAUGACGGUACCGUAAGAAUAAGCACCGGCUAACUACGUG